rnacentral:lncRNA from 1 species
GAGGUCUCAAGUCGUGUGGAACAUGCCGAAUGAGCCCAUGCCCCGGCAACAAUCCACUGGACACCACCACCACCACCACCACCCCCAAACAGCUCCUCUGGUCUAUCCUUCUUCCCAUCUGUCCCUCCCUCCCCAACUCUUUCUAACUCCCUAUCCCAGAGGGUAAAGUUGUUAUAUUGAAGAGUUUUUUCACUAUAUGUUGGGUUGGUCCUCAAUCUUGAUUUAAUUCACACAGCUAAAGGUGAUAGAUUAAAAACUACCACAAAAUGUCAUUUUUGAAGAUGUACUUGAUGCAGUGGUGUUGCUGAUUGUAUCACUUGGCCUAAGGUGUUGUGAUUGAUCUAGUCAAUGAACCUUCCUAGUAUAAGGAAAAUGAGAUAGCCUUAGAGUCAUUAGAGACUCAAAACUUAAAGACCAGCUAUAUCUGGAAGACACCUCUGAGAAGCAAUCAUUCCAUAAGGGUUCUAAUUAUGAGCAACAAAGAUACCUACAAUAAGCAAUUUCAAACUAUCAACCCAGGAGUUAAACCAAGGACAGUGCCAAAAACAAAAAUGAGAAGACAUUUAAGCAAGGCACAAACUCAGACUUCCACCCCACCAAGGAUAAAUCCUGGGGGAAAUGAGAUGGAAAUGUCCCAUAACCAACCACCUGGACACCCUGAACUAAUAGCACAGGAAGUAACAAAACAGAUGAAUGAGGCUCUAGAAAAAUUCCAAGCAGAAAUAAUCUCCCAGAUAUCUACAGAGAUGGUGAGCAGAGUGAAAGACAUGAUUAGAGGAUCUAGAACAGAAACAGAUAAAAAAAUAGAUGAGCUCAGAAACAUGCUGGAAGCCAUGAAUGCCCAGCAUAAGAAAGAAAUGGAAACUAUGAUCGCCCAACAUAAGAAAGAAAUGGAAUCCAUGAAACAGAUUCAAACAGAUAUUCAGGAGAUCAAAAACUCCAUUGAAAGUAUCCACAGCAGAUUAAGGGAAUCUGAAGAUAGAAUAUCAGAUAUAGAAGACAGGAUUGUGGUUAGAGACCAUGAAAAUAGAGAUUUCUUAAAAAUAGUAAGGGACCACGAGAAAUCAAUCCAACAACUGCUAGACGAUGCAAAGAAGAAUAACAUAAGACUGAUAGGAGGAGUCCAUGAAAAAACAGGAGAAAGCACAAUUGACAUUAAAAAAAACCUGUUCACAGAGUAAUAGUGGAAAACUUCCCAGACAGAGGUAGAGAAUUGGACAUACAGAUAAGUGAAGCAUAUAGAACUCCAACUAGCCAUGAUCAAAAAAAAUCUACAUCUAGACAUAUAAUAGUCAAGAUCCCAGAAACCCAACAGAAAAACAAAAUCCUACAGGCAGAGAAAAGAAACGAAUCACCUAUAAAGGAAAGCCCAUCAGAAUCACGGCAGACUUCUCAACACAAACCCUCUAAUCAAAGAGAGCCUGGAGUGAAGUAUUUCAAGCCCUAAAAGAAAAUAACUUCCAACCUAGACUGUUGUAUCCUGCAAAAUUAUCUUUCAAAAUCGAUGGGGAAAUUAGAUACUUCCAUGCCAAAGAACACCUGAGAAAUUUCAUGAACACCAAACCGACACUACAAGCAAUUCUAAACAAUAUCCUAGAAACAAGUAAUGAAGGCCACAACUCCAUGAGGCCCAACAGAGGGAAGCCACCAGGCAAGAUAAGACACUAAAGGGAAAGGGGGGAAAAAAUAAGAAAUAAAAGAGCCAACAAAAAUGAAAUUCCAGGGAGUUUUUCUGGGGAUAAUGGAAAUGAGGUUUGGGGGUUUUAUAAGAAAGAAUUAAUGAAAAUGAAGUUUCCUGCUCUGCCCCACAUCUUGAUUUGUGGACAGAGAAAGUUUGGAAGUACUCCAGGCAUUUUGCAACCAUAACAGAAGGCAGUCCUGGGACUGGAAUCCCUGGAAGGGCACAGCUAAGGAAUCACAGCAAAAUAAAGCCAACACCACUAUAUUGGGAGAAGGAAAGUUUUCCUACCUCUUCAUAUCCAGCUACGUCAACAAAUACAUGUCUAUCUGAUUGGAGACCUUGAGCGUUUUUGGAUGGAUGAGUACCUAAACAUCAACUUGAAACUCCAAGAAGACCAUAUGGGAAUAAUGCCUAAAUUGUUUAUUCAAUGCUUUAAACACAGUUAUUUUUGUCAUCUUUAAUGUAUCUACUUUGUUUAAUAGCAGCAUUUAGUCAUUGUUCUUCACUGGCUAAGGCAUAUAAUGUGCUGUCUCGUGUAACCAAGUGUCAUUAGAAGCAAAAUCUUCAAUAUCUAAUUUACUAAAUCUAAUUUUGCAGUUUUCAAUCUGAAAUGCAAAUUUAUAAAUUUAUAAACAUUUCACUUGGUGAAAUUUCAUAGAAAGGUUUUAAAAUCAAAUCUUUUUUUUUCCUUUGCUAAGUAGGAUGAAACUGAUUGUUCUGUGUCUUGUGGAGUUUGAGCUCCUAAACAAAAAUUCAGUGAGAGGAUUCUAGAACUCUUUGGUAUAUAAGAAAGGUACUUGCUUCAUGGGAAAUUUUCCUCAGACUCAGCCCUUAUGGAUUAUCCUUUAAAAUGCUUUCAUCACUUUUGCCUUGCUGCCUUCGAUUGCAAUGAGCCUAACCCUUGAAUGUUGCUGAAUUUAUAGCUCUGUAAAACAAACUCUUCUGGCAUUUCCUACACACAAUUGGGUUUCUUAGCUGCUCAAAAGAUUUGAGCUACAGUAGUUUGUUUCAUUAUUAAAGACAUAUGAUGCCUGUUGAACAGAUUUCCCCUUGGGCAACAGAGCUGAUAAAAGAAUAAAGAAUUUCAAGAAUCUGUAUCUCAAAAAUAAAUCCCAAGGUAUCUUUUACUUUUUUUUGACUUGGGGGGAAGCUUACAAAAUAAUUUCCAUUUUUAUUUAGCUUUGUACUUAUUAUGGAGCUGUGGGAGAACACAGCAUUUACCAGAUGAAAUUGUGCCAUUUGAAAUAAACAUGUGUUAUUUUAACUUUUGGCCUACAUUUGAUGACAAUAAUGAGACCUUCCUAAAAAUGAGAACCUGAAGUCAGCCCUAAUCGGAACCAUGAUUGCAGUUAGUAUAAUUCCAAAGGAAGCGAAUGUGGCUACUCUUCAAUGUUUCAUACUCCUUCCUUGAACAUAGUCUUUACAUUAGGUAAUAUUUUGUGUGUGUGUGGUCACUUGUUUUAAUGGUCACAUCUUACAUUCACCAUAAUGCUUUAAUGUCAGUCCUGUGGUUCUGUGAUCUUAGUGUCAUAGUAUUAAAUCUAUCAGACUGCUCAGCCCUUUGCAAGCAACUGAGAGACAAAGACUGCAAACUACAAUGAAGUACUGCAUAUUUGUUUGCCCAAGGAAAAAGCCAAUCCUAAUUUAGAUGUGCUUCUAUUUACUAGGCUACUUGGCUUUCCAUGGGCACAUUAAAUGACCAAGAGACUCCAUUUGUUAUUGAAAAGGACAGGAGCUGAAAUGAAAAGGGUUAAUUUGCAAAGGUAGGACAUCUGUUAGAAAUCAGCCCAGAAGCAGGAGCUGGCUGUAUUCCAAGAGUGGUUUUUCAUCUGCCAUGGAGUUGGCCAUUGACAGUUAAACUUGGAUCUAAACUUCACAAGGCAGAAAAACACAUUCUUGAAUUUAACAUUUAGUUCUUUUAGCUAUCCAAGCUGAAGGUGCUAGAGCUAUACAAAAAAAAAAUGCAGUAGCUAUACAGAGAAGUUGCUGUAGCUAUAGCUUUACAGACAAAUUGUGAAGCAAUACAGAAUUUCACUUGAGAUGAAGUCCCCAAACUUUCCUAAAUCUGUUUGUAUCCCAGCCAUUAGCCUAGGCUUCCAUUAAGGGCCUUACAUAAAUGUAUGUUCAGUAGAUAGUUGUUAAAUGUAAAAACUCGAAAUUAUUUUCUUUAUUAAUUUUAUUGGUACAUUUUAGGUAUACAAUAUAAUGACAUUCAUCAUUGGAAAUUUGCAUAUUUACAUAAGCUCUCUUGGUUCUUAUUUUUUCCUCAUUCUUCUGCCCUCCCUUCAACCCCUCCAUCCCUGCCUAUUUACAAAGACUUUGUUUCCAUUUUUGCAUUUUCUCAUAUUAAUUCCUUUGCCCUCCCCCUCCCACUUCCCUUUCCCCUUUGCCCCUUUUCUUCCUAUUUCACAUUAUCUAUUAUACCUUUUAGUCUUUAUUUACACUUUCAGUUUCUCACUCUCGAGAAACUAUUCGGUAUUUACACAUGUGUGUCCUAUUUAUUUCACUUACAAGUAUCACUUCAAUGUGCAUCCAUUUAGCUAUAAAUGUCUCUGAUUUCUCAUUUUUAUGGCUGAGUAGUACUCCAUUUUAUUAAAAAAAAAAAACACAUUUCCUUUGUCCAGUCUCCAGUUGAUGGGCACUUGGGUUGCUUCCAAGCUUUAGCUAUUACAAACUCUGCUGUGAUAAACAUAGGUGCACAUAUAUCACUUUGGUAUGAUUCUUUUAAUUUUGGGGGGAAGAUGCCCAGCAGGGGGAUAGCUGGGUCAAAUGGGACCUCCAGUCCUGGUUCUCCAUACUUGAGGUAUCUCCAUACUGAUUUCCACAGUGAUUACACCAGUCUACACUCCCACCAGCAGUGGAGAAAUUUCUGUACAAUUCUGUCAUGUAAAUGGCUAUGAAAAAGUAUAUUUCUUUAACUUAAUUUUGUCCACAAGUUUUCCUUUGGAUUGUUUCAGUUUUACAAAUCUCUGUUUGGGAAACUACUAAAAUAAUAAAAUCA